rnacentral:lncRNA from 1 species
UCUAUAACACUAAUCAACAGUUGUUCAUAAUCACGGGAAUCAACCGUUCAUCUUUGCACUACAUGCCAACAAUAUUCAUUUGUAACACAAAUGGUCAUGGUCAUGCCAAUCAAUAGUCCAUCUUUGCACUACGGGCCAAAGAGAACAUUCACCACAAGCGUUUGUCUGUAACACCAAAGAUUAUGAUUAUACCAAUUCACAGUUCAUGGUCAUAAUCAUUCCAAUCAAUGGUUACUUUUUGCACUCCGACCAAAGAGAACUUUUCACCACAAUUUAAAUCAGAGGAUUAUGACAAUGAUAUAAAGGUUGAAUAGAAAUAAUAAGAACAAUAAGAUCAAGAAUAAACAUUAUAAAUCAAUAAUUUAAUUUUUCCAGAGUCCAAGAAAGUCCAAAUUAUUAACA